rnacentral:rRNA from 1 species
CCUACGGGUGGCAGCAGUGGGGAAUAUUGGGCAAUGGGCGAGAGCCUGACCCAGCAACGCCGCGUGAAGGAAGAAGGCAUUGGGUGUGUAAAGAUCUGUUAGUGAGGACGAAACCUGACGGUACCCACCGAGGAAGCACCGGCUAACUCCGGGCCCGCAGCCUCGGUAAUACGGGGGGUGCAAGCGGUGUCCGGAAUCAUUGGGCGUAAAGAGUUCGUAGGGGGUACGUUAAAUCUGGUGGUAAAGGCGGAAGCUCAACUUCCGUAGGGCAGUUGAUACUGGCAAGCUUGAAUGCGGUAGAGGUAAGGGGAAGUCGUGGUGGAGCGGUGAAAUGCGUAGAUAGCAGGAAGAACAUCGGUGGCGUAGGCGCCUUACUGGGCCGUAAUUGACACUGAGGAACGAAAGCCGGGGUAGCAAAUGGGAUUAGAUACCCGUGUAGUC